rnacentral:rRNA from 1 species
AUGUCUUUUGAGUACCU